rnacentral:rRNA from 1 species
AGAGUUUGAUCAUGGCUCAGAAUGAACGCUGGCGGCACGCUUAACACAUGCAAGUCGAACGAGAUCUUCGGAUCUAGUGGCAGACGGGUGAGUAACGCGUGGGAACCUGCCCAGUAGUAGAGAAUAACUUGGGGAAACUUAAGCUAAUACUUUAUACGUCCUUCGGGAGAAAGCUUUAUGCGCUAUUGGAUGGGCCCGCGUUAGAUUAGUUUGUUGGUGAGGUAACGGCUCACCAAGGCGACGAUCUAUAGCUGGUCUGAGAGGAUGAUCAGCCACACUGGGACUGAGACACGGCCCAGACUCCUACGGGAGGCAGCAGUGGGGAAUAUUGGACAAUGGGGGCAACCCUGAUCCAGCGAUGCCGCGUGAGUGAUGAAGGCCCUAGGGUUGUAAAACUCUUUCGUCAGGGAAGAUAAUGACGGUACCUGAAGAAGAAGAUCCGGCUAACUCCGUGCCAGCAGCCGCGGUAAUACGGAGGGGUCUAGCGUUAUUCGGAAUUACUGGGCGUAAAGCGAGCGUAGGCGGAUUUGUAAGUUGGAGGUGAAAUCCCAGAGCUUAACUCUGGAACUGCCUUCAAAACUACAUUUCUUGAGUUUGGUAGAGGAGAGUGGAAUUCCUAGUGUAGAGGUGAAAUUCGUAGAUAUUAGGAGGAACACCAGUGGCGAAGGCGACUCUCUGGGCCAAUACUGACGCUGAGGUUCGAAAGCAUGGGUAGCGAACAGGAUUAGAUACCCUGGUAGUCCAUGCAGUAAACGAUGAGUGCUAGAUGUUGGGAAUUUAAAUUUCCAGUAUCGCAGUUAACGCGUUAAGCACUCCGCCUGGGAAGUACGGCCGCAAGGCUAAAACUCAAAUGAAUUGACGGGGACCCGCACAAGCGGUGGAUCAUGUGGUUUAAUUCGAAGAUACGCGAAGAACCUUACCGGCCCUUGACAUACCAAUCGCGGACUUAAGAGAUUAAGUCUUUCACUUCGGGUGGAUUGGAUACAGGUGCUGCAUGGCUGUCGUCAGCUCGUGUCGUGA